rnacentral:rRNA from 1 species
CCAGACUCCUACGGGAGGCAGCAGUGAGGAAUAUUGGUCAAUGGGCGCGAGCCUGAACCAGCCAAGUAGCGUGAAGGAUGACUGCCCUACGGGUUGUAAACUUCUUUUAUAAAGGAAUAAAGUGAGGCACGUGUGCCUUUUUGUAUGUACUUUAUGAAUAAGGAUCGGCUAACUCCGUGCCAGCAGCCGCGGUAAUACGGAGGAUGCGAGCGUUAUCCGGAUUUAUUGGGUUUAAAGGGUGCGUAGGCGGGCCGUUAAGUCAGCGGUAAAAAUGCGGAGCUCAACUCCGUCGAGCCGUUGAAACUGCCGUUCUUGAGUGAGCGAGAAGUAUGCGGAAUGCGUGGUGUAGCGGUGAAAUGCAUAGAUAUCACGCAGAACUCCGAUUGCGAAGGCAGCAUACCGGCGCUCAACUGACGCUGAAGCACGAAGGCGUGGGUAUCGAACAGGAUUAGAUACCCGCGUA